rnacentral:rRNA from 1 species
UACGAAGGGGGCUAGCGUUGCUCGGAAUCACUGGGCGUAAAGGGUGCGUAGGCGGGUCUUUAAGUCAGGGGUGAAAUCCUGGAGCUCAACUCCAGAACUGCCUUUGAUACUGAGGAUCUUGAGUUCGGGAGAGGUGAGUGGAACUGCGAGUGUAGAGGUGAAAUUCGUAGAUAUUCGCAAGAACGCCAGUGGCGAAGGCGGCUCACUGGCCCGAUACUGACGCUGAGGCACGAAAGCGUGGGGAGCAAACAGG